GAUGUCCGCCAAGUCGGUCAGAAGACGGAGACGUAUUUUUUAACAGCGUGUUGUGUCGCUCAUACUGACUCUAGCGAGCAGCCAAGUUGGUAUGACGUCAAGAUUACAGGUAGAAGAAUUGCCCUUUAGUAUGAUAUCUUUUAUAUGAUCACAUGAUGCUGAUUCAAACUGAUUCAGGAAUCCAGCCGGAAUAUUAGAAGGGCCGUCUAAAUUAGCAGACGUCAAAUCUUGCGAAAUUCAAAAUAUUUUCAGCUAAAAGAAAUAUCAACGCUGCUGCACAAGGUUAAGAAAAUAGUGUGGAUAAAAGUUACAAUGUCUUGAUCCUAUAGAUUACACAUAAAAUUUCAAAACAAAACAGAGCUGGUAUGGAGCUGCCAUCCACGCUCACACACUCUAAACACGUACAACUGGGGAAUCGAAACCACACCAGUUGACUCAAUGACAGACCUUAUGAUACAAUGCACACACGCUAACCAUUCCACCAUCCAACCCCCCUCGGAGGAAGGUAGGAUGUUAAACCCCAUUUGGUGAUUGACAAAAACAACCAUUCCAAAAAUACAUCUUUUUUUCAAAUAGACCUACUGUAUUAAUUUUACCAAUAUCAGUAGAUGGUUCUGUUCUGGACACAAUUUCCAACAUAAAAGUGCUUGAGAAGUCUUGGAUAUAUCACCAGAAGAAAAAUUAAGCUGUUACUUGAUGUAUAAUGUAUUUAAUUGAAUCCAUGUGAAAAUUAUCAAAAACUGACAUAAAAUAUUGCCCUACUGUUCCAAGCAGCUCGCUGUAGAUAUUUCUUUGCAAACCAAGGUAUGCUAAAACUUUUAAACAAGAUAAAUAGACACUAGGAGUAUUUCUUGGCAUUUAAUUUGCACAUAUUAUGAAAAUCUACUAAUUUCAAACUAUACCCUGUGAUGUCUGUAACUGCUCUUUACUUUAUCCAGUAAAUGAUCAUGUUGACCUUAGCUGAGAGAUAAAGAUGUUUCAGAACUGGGAAACAUUUGUUUGACAAAACAGGAAGUAUUUUGUGAGGAUUUCCUUUUUAUUGUACAUCUAAAUGCAGCCAUUAUAGCUAUCAGGUCAUUUACACAAGUUUAAAUAUUACUAUAUACAAACAACACUUUUGCCCAUGCUGUAAUGCUUUAUCUCUUGCAAAUAUACCCCAAUAAUGUCAAAUCUAGUGAUUAAAAGGAUAUGAAUUCUUUGUUAUCUUAUUUCAGAGCCAAUGAAAUAUAUUUACAGUUAAACUAAGUUAUGUGGUUGGAAUCAAUUUAAUGACUUGAAAGUAGGGUAUGGUAUGCAAUUCCAAUUUAAAGAAGAAAUAAAACCUCCAAAUUCAAUUUCUGUGAAAUUUCAAUUUUAACGCAUCACAAAACCUGCACUUGAUUUACAGAGUAC